UACGGGGGGGCAAGCGUUGUUCGGAAUUACUGGGCGUAAAGGGCUCGUAGGCGGCCAACUAAGUCCGACGUGAAAUCCCAAGGCUUAACCUUGGAACUGCGUCGGAUACUGGAUGGCUUGAAUUCGGGAGAGGGAUGCAGAAUUCCAGGUGUAGCGGUGAAAUGCGUAGAUAUCUGGAGGAAUACCGGUGGCGAAGGCGGCAUCCUGGACCGACAUUGACGCUGAGGAGCGAAAGCUAGGGGAGCAAACAGG
rnacentral:rRNA from 1 species